rnacentral:rRNA from 1 species
GAUGAACGCUGGCGGCGUGCCUAAUACAUGCAAGUCGAGCGAACAGAUAAGGAGCUUGCUCCUUUGACGUUAGCGGCGGACGGGUGAGUAACACGUGGGUAACCUACCUAUAAGACUGGAAUAACUCCGGGAAACCGGGGCUAAUGCCGGAUAACAUUUAGAACCGCAUGGUUCUAAAGUGAAAGAUGGUUUUGCUAUCACUUAUAGAUGGACCCGCGCCGUAUUAGCUAGUUGGUAAGGUAACGGCUUACCAAGGCAACGAUACGUAGCCGACCUGAGAGGGUGAUCGGCCACACUGGAACUGAGACACGGUCCAGACUCCUACGGGAGGCAGCAGUAGGGAAUCUUCCGCAAUGGGCGAAAGCCUGACGGAGCAACGCCGCGUGAGUGAUGAAGGUCUUCGGAUCGUAAAACUCUGUUAUUAGGGAAGAACAAAUGUGUAAGUAACUGUGCACGUCUUGACGGUACCUAAUCAGAAGGCCACGGCUAACUACGUG